rnacentral:rRNA from 1 species
UCAAGUGAAUAAGUGCAUCAGGCGGAUGCCUUGGCGAUGAUAGGCGACGAAGGACGUGUAAGCCUGCGAAAAGCGCGGGGGAGCUGGCAAUAAAGCUAUGAUUCCGCGAUGUCCGAAUGGGGAAACCCACUGCAUUCUGUGCAGUAUCCUAAGUUGAAUACAUAGGCUUAGAGAAGCGAACCCGGAGAACUGAACCAUCUAAGUACCCGGAGGAAAAGAAAUCAACCGAGAUUCCGCAAGUAGUGGCGAGCGAACGCGGAGGAGCCUGUACGUAAUAACUGUCGAGAUAGAAGAACAAGCUGGGAAGCUUGACCAUAGCGGGUGACAGUCCCGUAUUCGAAAUCUCAACAGCGGUACUAAGCGUACGAAAAGUAGGGCGGGACACGUGAAAUCCUGUCUGAAUAUGGGGGGACCAUCCUCCAAGGCUAAAUACUCAUCAUCGACCGAUAGUGAACCAGUACCGUGAGGGAAAGGCGAAAAGAACCCCGGGAGGGGAGUGAAACAGAACCUGAAACCUGAUGCAUACAAACAGUGGGAGCGCCCUAGUGGUGUGACUGCGUACCUUUUGUAUAAUGGGUCAACGACUUACAUUCAGUAGCGAGCUUAACCGGAUAGGGGAGGCGUAGGGAAACCGAGUCUUAAUAGGGCGAUGAGUUGCUGGGUGUAGACCCGAAACCGAGUGAUCUAUCCAUGGCCAGGUUGAAGGUGCCGUAACAGGUACUGGAGGACCGAACCCACGCAUGUUGCAAAAUGCGGGGAUGAGCUGUGGGUAGGGGUGAAAGGCUAAACGAACUCGGAGAUAGCUGGUUCUCCCCGAAAACUAUUUAGGUAGUGCCUCGAGCAAGACACUGAUGGGGGUAAAGCACUGUUAUGGCUAGGGGGUUAUUGCAACUUACCAACCCAUGGCAAACUCAGAAUACCAUCAAGUGGUUCCUCGGGAGACAGACAGCGGGUGCUAACGUCCGUUGUCAAGAGGGAAACAACCCAGACCGCCGGCUAAGGUCCCAAAUGAUAGAUUAAGUGGUAAACGAAGUGGGAAGGCACAGACAGCCAGGAUGUUGGCUUAGAAGCAGCCAUCAUUUAAAGAAAGCGUAAUAGCUCACUGGUCGAGUCGUCCUGCGCGGAAGAUGUAACGGGGCUCAAAUCUAUAACCGAAGCUGCGGAUGCCGGUUUACCGGCAUGGUAGGGGAGCGUUCUGUAGGCUGAUGAAGGUGCAUUGUAAAGUGUGCUGGAGGUAUCAGAAGUGCGAAUGUUGACAUGAGUAGCGAUAAAGCGGGUGAAAAGCCCGCUCGCCGAAAGCCCAAGGUUUCCUACGCAACGUUCAUCGGCGUAGGGUAAGUCGGCCCCUAAGGCGAGGCAGAAAUGCGUAGUCGAUGGGAAACAGGUUAAUAUUCCUGUACUUGAUUCAAAUGCGAUGUGGGGACGGAGAAGGUUAGGUUGGCAAGCUGUUGGAAUAGCUUGUUUAAGCCGGUAGGUGGAAGACUUAGGCAAAUCCGGGUUUUCUUAACACCGAGAAGUGAUGACGAGUGUCUACGGACACGAAGCAACCGAUACCACGCUUCCAGGAAAAGCCACUAAGCUUCAGUUUGAAUCGAACCGUACCGCAAACCGACACAGGUGGGCAGGAUGAGAAUUCUAAGGCGCUUGAGAGAACUCGGGAGAAGGAACUCGGCAAAUUGAUACCGUAACUUCGGGAGAAGGUAUGCCCUCUAAGGUUAAGGACUUGCUCCGUAAGCCCCGGAGGGUCGCAGAGAAUAGGUGGCUGCGACUGUUUAUUAAAAACACAGCACUCUGCCAACACGAAAGUGGACGUAUAGGGUGUGACGCCUGCCCGGUGCCGGAAGGUUAAUUGAAGAUGUGCAAGCAUCGGAUCGAAGCCCCGGUAAACGGCGGCCGUAACUAUAACGGUCCUAAGGUAGCGAAAUUCCUUGUCGGGUAAGUUCCGACCCGCACGAAUGGCGUAACGAUGGCCACACUGUCUCCUCCCGAGACUCAGCGAAGUUGAAGUGGUUGUGAAGAUGCAAUCUACCCGCUGCUAGACGGAAAGACCCCGUGAACCUUUACUGUAGCUUUGCAUUGGACUUUGAAGUCACUUGUGUAGGAUAGGUGGGAGGCUUGGAAGCAGAGACGCCAGUCUCUGUGGAGUCGUCCUUGAAAUACCACCCUGGUGUCUUUGAGGUUCUAACCCAGACCCGUCAUCCGGGUCGGGGACCGUGCAUGGUAGGCAGUUUGACUGGGGCGGUCUCCUCCCAAAGCGUAACGGAGGAGUUCGAAGGUUACCUAGGUCCGGUCGGAAAUCGGACUGAUAGUGCAAUGGCAAAAGGUAGCUUAACUGCGAGACCGACAAGUCGGGCAGGUGCGAAAGCAGGACAUAGUGAUCCGGUGGUUCUGUAUGGAAGGGCCAUCGCUCAACGGAUAAAAGGUACUCCGGGGAUAACAGGCUGAUUCCGCCCAAGAGUUCAUAUCGACGGCGGAGUUUGGCACCUCGAUGUCGGCUCAUCACAUCCUGGGGCUGUAGUCGGUCCCAAGGGUAUGGCUGUUCGCCAUUUAAAGUGGUACGUGAGCUGGGUUUAAAACGUCGUGAGACAGUUUGGUCCCUAUCUGCAGUGGGCGUUGGAAGUUUGACGGGGGCUGCUCCUAGUACGAGAGGACCGGAGUGGACGAACCUCUGGUGUACCGGUUGUAACGCCAGUUGCAUAGCCGGGUAGCUAAGUUCGGAAGAGAUAAGCGCUGAAAGCAUCUAAGCGCGAAACUCGCCUGAAGAUGAGACUUCCCUUGCGGUUUAACCGCACUAAAGGGUCGUUCGAGACCAGGACGUUGAUAGGUGGGGUGUGGAAGCGCGGUAACGCGUGAAGCUAACCCAUACUAAUUGCCCGUGAGGCUUGACUCU